UGGGGAAUCUUGCGCAAUGGGCGAAAGCCUGACGCAGCAACGCCGCGUGGGGGAUGAAGGCUCUCGGGUUGUAAACCCCUUUCAGCAGGGACGAUGAUGACGGUACCUGCAGAAGAAGGACCGGCCAACUACGUGCCAGCAGCCGCGGUAAUACGUAGGGUCCAAGCGUUGUCCGGAUUUAUUGGGCGUAAAGAGCUCGUAGGCGGUUCGGUAAGUCGGGUGUGAAAACCCCAGGCUCAACCUGGGGACGCCACUCGAUACUGCUGUGACUUGAGUUCGGUAGGGGAGCACGGAAUUCCUGGUGUAGCGGUGAAAUGCGCAGAUAUCAGGAGGAACACCGGUGGCGAAGGCGGUGCUCUGGGCCGAAACUGACGCUGAGGAGCGAAAGCGUGGGUAGCAA
rnacentral:rRNA from 1 species